GCAUAUCAAUAAAGCGGAGGAAAAGAAACCAACAGGGAUUGCCUCAGUAACGGCGAGUGAAGCGGCAAAAGCUCAAAUUUGAAAGCUUCGGCAUUGUAAUUUCAAGGAGGAGAAACAACUAUGAAGAAAAAGUUCAUUGGAAAAUGACGCCUUAGAGGGUGACAGCCCCGUAUCUUUUUGUUACUUUUCUCCUCCAAAGAGUCGAGUUGUUUGGGAAUGCAGCUCUAAUGGGUGGUAAAUUCCAUCUAAAGCUAAAUACUGGCGAGAGACCGAUAGCGAACAAGUACAGUGAUGGAAAGAUGAAAAGCACUUUGAAAAGAGAGUGAAAAAGUACGUGAAAUUGUUGGAAGGGAAGGGCUUGCAAGCAGACACGGUCUAACCGGGCCAGCAUCGUGUGCUCAGGUGUCAUAAAUCCAAAAGAAUGUAAGCUUCGGUGGUUAUAUCUUUCGGCAAUAGCACCCCGGGCGCACGAGGACCGCUAAUAGGAUGCUGGCGUAAUGGUUGCAAGCCGCCCGUCUUGAAAACACGGACC
rnacentral:rRNA from 1 species